GUUUGCUGCUCCUUAAUUUCAGAAGAGGCAACAAGCAACUGUUCGCUGUUCACCUGGGAAUUUAUAUACUUCUCUUCUUCCAUUUCAGCCUGCUGCUUUUAGAAUGUGUCCCAGAGGUUAACAACCUGCUCCUGCCACCAGCUGCCAGACACCCCCCUCCCAGGAUCUGGCCCUCUGGAAGAAGAUCCAAGCUUCAUUUACAGCAGCAAGUGGUCCCUCCUGCUUCAUUUCUCCUCUACUUGCAGGUGCCUGGCUCUUGAGGGGGAUUCAUCAACAUGAUCUGCAAGAAGGUGAGGCAGCUCCUCAGAGCUGGAGUUUAACCCCUGCUCUGUCUCCAUCCUGGUACACAGCUCCACAGCAGCCCUCCUGCUGCUAACCUGGGCCGUGAAGGAGCCGAUGAAGAGAAAGUUUACCCAAGCUAACCACUGUGUAAAGACUCGGGAAAAGGUUGUCCAGCAGCUCAGGCAAGAGUCACCUCUGCCUGUAGAAGGUGCUUGUUCUCCUCACUGAUUGUGCUCCAGAGCUCUUGCCACUGGGAGGGCUGGUUGCUCCAUAAUCUGCUUCAAGCUGGAGUAUCUGAGUUACCCACAGGGGAGGAGGAGCUGACCUGGAAGAGGACUGUGACCUGUACAUGCAGCUUGCACUUGCACAAGCUCUCUUUGCUCGUUGUGCACCUGGCAGCUAUUGCGUGGUAGCUUGAUGGAGGGUAAGGAAAAGUUGAAGAGAUCACAGCAGUGGGGUUCCCAGGAUGACGAGGACCCUUGGGGAGAUCCCUAAGAUUGCUGAAGACACCUUAAGCAAAUACUGCACCUGGCAAGCACUGGGAUCAGGCUCUGAAAACCUCCUCUCUAUACAAAUGGGGGUGUGGAGACUCAUUUCUAGUAGUGCCUGUGUUAGAGCAAUCUAAGUCCAUACAGCUUUGCAUUUCAUGUGAACAUUAAAAAAUAAGGAGAGGGGGGAAAAAAAGAGAGAGAGAAAGAAAAUUUAAGUGGCUAAAAUUACUCCUGUAGUUGUUUUACACAGCUGAAUGAAGAUAAUUGUAUUGGCAAUUGUGAGUGAUUACAGUAUUAUCUGCCAUCAAAAAAGUUAUUUUUUUGAACACUAAAGGAAUUAAUGAUACAUAAAACUGUGCUUAGAUUGAGUGCAUUCAUCAGCAGAAAUGCCUGGUGCUGGCACUGCUACACUGUAAUUACUCCAGCCGCUCAGAGAAAGAGAGCAGGAGAUAGGGGGCUAUUGUGGAUGCUGCCAAAGAUUUACAUACAUUUACACGCUGAGCAGCUCUGGUGCUCCGGGAGGGAGGAGCAGAACCAGGGCAGCAAAGCUGAUGGGUGGGGGGGCAAGUUUGGCCCCUGCUUUUUUUUUAGUGUGCAUUACAGAGCAAAGAAUAGGGGAUCAUCUCUGCGUUUAAAACUUUACAGGGUGAAGCUGGCAUGGAGAAGAUGGUUAAAUGCUCCUCAGAAUAGCAAGGGAUGAGCCCAGGCUUUAUAGGAUGCUGCCUCAUGGUGUCUGAAUUGAUAAAACCAUUCCUGGGGUCACAGACAGUGAGUGCCCAGCCCUGGGAGACUGAUGGUGGUGGUGAGAAUGGCAGAGGUGGUGUCCUCAAGGGACAUCUGCUGUGCCCUGUGCUUCAAGUGAGCCCAUCAUGCUGCUGCAUUGGUA